AAAGUACUCCCUCCGUCCGGAAUUACUUGUCGUCAAAAUGGAUAAAAAUGGAUGUAUCUAGAACUAAAAUACAUCUAGGUACGUCCAUUUCUCCGACAAGUAUUUCCGGAUGGAGGGAGUACACA
rfam:Triticum aestivum genome assembly, contig: Triticum_aestivum_CS42_TGACv1_scaffold_320262_4BL